rnacentral:rRNA from 1 species
GAUGAACGCUGGCGGCGUGCCUAAUACAUGCAAGUCGAGCGAACGGACGAGAAGCUUGCUUCUCUGAUGUUAGCGGCGGACGGGUGAGUAACACGUGGAUAACCUACCUAUAAGACUGGGAUAACUUCGGGAAACCGGAGCUACUACCGGAUAAUAUUUUGAACCGCAUGGUUCAAAAGUGAAGGACGGUCUUGCUGUCACUUAUAGCUGGAUCCGCCCUGCAUUAGCUAGUUGGUAAGGUAACGGCUUACCAAGGCAACGAGGCAUAGCCGACCUGAGAGGGUGAUCGGCCACACGGGAACUGAGACACGGUCCAGACUCCUACGGGAGGAAGCAGUAGGGAAUCUUCCGCAAUGGGCGAAAGCCUGACGGAGCAACGCGGCGGGAGUGAUGAAGGUCUUCGGAUCGGAAAACUCUGUUAUUAGGGAAGAACAUAUGUGUAAGUAACUGUGCACAUCUUGACGGUACCUAAUCAGAAAGCCACGGCUAACUACGUG